UUGAAACGAUGACAAGAACGAAAAUCCAACGCUGAAUGUCGACGUGUUGAUCUUCUUCUAUGAGCUUUUUAACCCUGAUCAAU
rnacentral:snoRNA from 1 species